rnacentral:misc_RNA from 1 species
AACGCACAUUGCGCCCCUGGGAAUUCCCAGGGGCAUGCCUGUUCGAGCGUCCGUAACAACCUCUCAAGCCUAGCUUGGUAUUGGGACUCGCUGCCCUUGUGGCGGUCCUCAAAAGCAGUGGCGGGACCAUGUAACUCUCCGCGUAGUAAUACAUCUCGCGACAGAGAAGCAUUGGGACUUGCCAAAACUCCUUAAUUGCUCAGGUUGACCUCGAAUCAGGUAGGGAUACCCGCUGAACUUAA